UCCGUAGCCGGUUUAGUAAGUUCCUGGUUAAAUCUGGCAGCUUAACUGUCAGUCAGCUAGGAAUACUACUUUACUAGAGGGUGGGAAAGGUUUGAGGUACUCCAGGGGUAGCGGUGAAAUGCGAUAAUCCUUGGGGGACCACCAGUGGCGAAGGCGUCAGACUGGAACACGCCUGACGGUGAGGGACGAAAGCCAGAGGAGCGAACAGGAUUAGAUACCCUGGUAGUCC
rnacentral:rRNA from 1 species